GCACAAGCGGUGGAGCAUGUGGUUUAAUUCGAUGCAACGCGAAGAACCUUACCUGGUCUUGACAUAGUAAGAACUUUCCAGAGAUGGAUUGGUGCCUUCGGGAACUUACAUACAGGUGCUGCAUGGCUGUCGUCAGCUCGUGUCGUGAGAUGUUGGGUUAAGUCCCGCAACGAGCGCAACCCUUUUCCUUAUUUGCCAGCGGGUUAAGCCGGGAACCUUAAGGAUACUGCCAGUGACAAACUGGAGGAAGGCGGGGACGACGUCAAGUCAUCAUGGCCCUUACGACCAGGGCUACACACGUGCUACAAUGGUCGGUACAAAGGGUUGCUACCUAGCGAUAGGAUGCUAAUCUCAAAAAGCCGAUCGUAGUCCGGAUUGGAGUCUGCAACUCGACCCCAUGAAGUCGGAAUCGCUAGUAAUCGCGGAUCAGAAUGCCGCGGUGAAUACGUUCCCGGGC
rnacentral:rRNA from 1 species